AGAACUCAGCGUGGGGGAUCCAGAAAAGAAGUCGCACGUAUUGAAGCCAGUAACGCCAAGCCAGUGAAUUCUCCUUGACGAGAAAGACCCACUUACUCUGCAGAAGAGAUAUAUGACAGCUGACAAUCCCUGGAGGAGAAUCUUUCUACUAAAUUGUUGAAAACAUUCAAGUACGGAAUAAACUAUUACUGCGAAUACGCUCAUAUGACACAAGAACAAUCUCUGAGCUUCUUUGAGGAUGUCCAGAUGACUGCUGACUGCACUAAUUGCAUCAAUCGUGUAUCCAUACAGGUUCUUUCUAUAAAAUAGUGGUCGCUAGUUAUGAGGCGUUAAGCCUUCAUGGAUAUAAACAGACUAUUCCACCUAAGUGAUCUGGCAGAAGCUUAGUUUUCUACCACAACAUCCACCGUCCUCCCUCCCUCCCUUCCUAGCUGGUCAGAAAAGCUACUCAGAAUAAAGACUACAUUUCCCAGCCAUCUUUGCAGCUAGGUUUAUCCACCUGACUAAAUUCCACCGGCAUCUAUUCAACGAAGACGAAUCCUGGAAUGGGGAUGGAAAUGAUGGCUCAUGUCUUAGCAAACUACCAGUACGUCUACUAGAACCGGAACUGAUCCGAGAGGACAGGGAAGUCAGUGUGGGCGGCUCUAAGGAGCCUCCCUCUCUACAGCUGCGGCUCAGAGGAUUACGGCGCUUCAUCCACAAGGCAACAUUGCACAAGUAGCUUUUGAACAAAAGUCAUGGAUACUAUUAAUGAUAUGGUAAUCCUUAAUCGAGCUACCUCCCAGUAGUGAUUAUACUGACAUGGGAAGAAUAUCUAAGUCGUGGAGGCAGCCCACAACAACACUGUGUCAUUGUUCACCCCGGGCUCGACCAGGACUAACUUUUACCAGCAUCUCUAACGUCACCUUUCCCCUGAUGCCUCCCCACAACCCCUGGCCCCAGCUCCCAUUCCCGCCCCAUCAUAGCAAAAAAGUAGCAAAGAAAACCCUGAUCCUAAAUCUUUUUCUGGAUUUUUUUUUGCAAGUUCCCACACACAUUUAGUGUCGUCUCAAAAUUCACGCUGUCAACUGUCUCUAGGAAUCAUUUCCAUCUGAGAACAGACCACACAAAGGUUAGUUCGGUGGGUCUCAGUGAAGAUGUUUUAAUUGUCUGACAAUAGAUUCUUCCAUCAUUUGACUUGCAAAUACUGUCCUCUUGCUCUCAGAUAACAUGUUCAGAAUUAGACCAUUUGUCAAUAAAUUUCCCAAAACUCC
rnacentral:lncRNA from 1 species